GACGUAGGGCGCGAGCGUUGUCCGGAUUUAUUGGGCGUAAAGAGCUCGUAGGCGGCUUGGCGCGUCGUCCGUGAAAACCUGCGGCUCAACUGCAGGCUGGCGGUCGAUACGGGCAGGCUGGAGUUCGGUAGGGGAGACUGGAAUUCCUGGUGUAGCGGUGAAAUGCGCAGAUAUCAAGUGGAACACCAGUGGCGAAGGCGAGUCUCUGGACAUUUCCUGACGCUGAGGCACGAAAGCCAGGGGAGCAAACGGG
rnacentral:rRNA from 1 species